CUUGCAUGAGUUGGAUGAAGUUGUGGGUUACAUGAGCCUGUGUUACCCUUUUGGGCUAACUGCCUCGGUUCUGUUUGGAAGACAUCAUAAGGCCAUAUUACAAUCUCCAAAAAAAACUUUCCUUGUUCUUCUUUGCUUUAACUUCAUCAGCCUCCAGAUCUAAUAUUAAUUUUUCUCUUAGAUUCAGAAAUUGAUAAAUCUCUUAAACAAGGUUUAUCCCAUUUUUUUCUUCAGUAGUGUAGAAAGACAUGUUGCCAAUGUAUACGGUUGUUGAAUUUUGGAGUGCGUGUUCAUAUUCUUAUUGUGUUCCUGGAAACCUUUUGUCACGAUACGCUGAAAUCUUUGUUGGAUCCUGUAACAUUAACAUAGGUAAUGAAUAGAAUGCACACUGAUAAGUGAUAUUGGUAAUUUAGUAAUUUUAAAAAUAGGAAAAAUAUUGGAUAUUACCUUGAACAGCAACGCCAUUGCACCUUAUCUGAAAAUGAAGACAAGUAGUAUAUUGUGUUGUUACUCUCGAGUUAAUAGUUACACAUGCUUAUAGAAACAAAUCUGAUGAUGUUUAAAUUAGUAUGACUAUCACAUUUGUUGCAUGAAAUUAUUCUUACAGAACCAACUCUGAUGAUGUUUAAAUUAGAUGAGAAGCUGAAGUUGAUAGAAUCUCGUCUGGAAAGCAAAAAUUGAGGGCCCACUUCAGGCUUACAUCCUCGUUGACGUACAUCACGUGAUAUUCCUCCGGUGUGGAGUUAAGAAUUUGGGGGUUUCUUUCAAGAAGCAAGUAAAAUGUACAGCAACUAAAGUUUACUUGGUCUCAAAUUCUUCUUGCCCAGGUUCCAAUGGCUCCAAAACAGCCAAACACAGGACUCUUUGUGGGUCUAAAUAAAGGGCAUGUUGUCACCAAGAAGGAAUUAGCACCUCGUCCUUCCG